AACGAACGCUGGCGGCAGGCCUAACACAUGCAAGUCGAGCGAGGACUUCGGUUCUAGCGGCGGACGGGUGAGUAACGCGUGGGAAUGUGCCCUUCUCUACGGAAUAGCCCUGGGAAACUGGGAGUAAUACCGUAUACGCCCUAUUGGGGAAAGAUUUAUCGGAGAAGGAUCAGCCCGCGUUGGAUUAGGUAGUUGGUGGGGUAAUGGCCUACCAAGCCGACGAUCCAUAGCUGGUUUGAGAGGAUGAUCAGCCACACUGGGACUGAGACACGGCCCAGACUCCUACGGGAGGCAGCAGUGGGGAAUCUUAGACAAUGGGGGCAACCCUGAUCUAGCCAUGACGCGUGAGUGAUGAAGGCCUUAGGGUUGUAAAGCUCUUUCAGCUGGGAAGAUAAUGACGGUACCAGCAGAAGAAGCCCCGGCUAACUCCGUG
rnacentral:rRNA from 1 species